rnacentral:tRNA from 1 species
GGGCCCGUGGCGUAGCUGGAUAGCGCGUCGGCCUGCGGAGCCGGAGGUCCCGGGUUCGAAUCCCGGCGGGCCCA